rnacentral:rRNA from 1 species
GACGUAGGGCGCAAGCGUUGUCCGGAAUUAUUGGGCGUAAAGAGCUCGUAGGCGGUCUGUCGCGUCGAUCGUGAAAACUUGGGGCUUAACCCUGAGCUUGCGGUUGAUACGGGCAUGACUGGAGUUCGGCAGGGGAGACUGGAAUUCCUGGUGUAGCGGUGAAAUGCGCAGAUAUCAGGAGGAACACCGGUGGCGAAGGCGGGUCUCUGGGCCGAUACUGACGCUGAGGAGCGAAAGCGUGGGGAGCGAACAGG